rnacentral:rRNA from 1 species
GAUGAACGCUAGCGGCAGGCUUAAUACAUGCAAGUCGUGGGACCCGCAAACGGGUGCGGUACAUGUACGCAACCUUCCUUCAAGUGGGGGAUAGCCCAGGGGAACUUGGAUUGAUACCCCGUGCUUGAAGAUGGGCGUGCGCCUGUUUAGGUAGUUGGCGGGGUCACGGCCCACCAAGCCUGCGAUCAGUACCUGGUGGGAGAGCACGAGCAGUCACACGGGCACUGAGACACGGGCCCGACUCCUACGGGAGGCAGCAGUAAGUAAUAGUGGUCAAUGGACGCAAGUCUGAACCAGCCAUGCCGCGUGGAGGAUGAAGGUCUCUGGAUUGUAAACAUCUUUUAUCUGUGAAGCGGUACCAGAUGAAUAAGCACCGGCUAACUCCGUGCCAGCAGCCGCGGUAAUAC